UACGUAGGGUGCAAGCGUUGUCCGGAUUUAUUGGGCGUAAAGAGCGUGUAGGCGGCCUGGAAGGUCAGCUGUGAAAACUCGAGGCUCAACCUCGAGACGUCGGUUGAAACCACCUGGCUAGAGUCCGGAAGAGGAGAGUGGAAUUCCCGGUGUAGCGGUGAAAUGCGCAGAUAUCGGGAAGAACACCCGUGGCGAAGGCGGCUCUCUGGGACGGUACUGACGCUGAGACGCGAAAGCGUGGGGAGCAAACAGG
rnacentral:rRNA from 1 species